GACGAACGCUGGCGGCGUGCUUAACACAUGCAAGUCGAACGGAAAGGCCCUGCUUUUGUGGGGUGCUCGAGUGGCGAACGGGUGAGUAACACGUGAGUAACCUGCCCUUGACUUUGGGAUAACUUCAGGAAACUGGGGCUAAUACCGGAUAGGAGCUCCUGCUGCAUGGUGGGGGUUGGAAAGUUUCGGCGGGUGGGGAUGGACUCGCGGCUUAUCAGCUUGUUGGUGGGGUAGUGGCUUACCAAGGCUUUGACGGGUAGCCGGCCUGAGAGGGUGACCGGCCACAUUGGGACUGAGAUACGGCCCAGACUCCUACGGGAGGCAGCAGUGGGGAAUAUUGCACAAUGGGCGGAAGCCUGAUGCAGCAACGCCGCGUGCGGGAUGACGGCCUUCGGGUUGUAAGCCGCUUUCGCCUGUGACGAAGCGUGAGUGACGGUAAUGGGUAAAGAAGCACCGGCUAACUACGUG
rnacentral:rRNA from 1 species